rfam:Schistosoma rodhaini strain Burundi genome assembly, scaffold: SROB_scaffold0012941
AUCCAGCUGAUGAGUCCCAAAUAGGAUGAAGUAACGUGCGUCCUGGAU